ACAGACCGCUGCCAUAUAACAGGAAUAUUGCUGAGUGUGGCGUUAAACAGCAAACCAAACAACCAUCGCCACAUCUGUCACCAGUUGCUUCCACUCCAUAACUUCCACCUCCUGAAGCUGUGGGCAAGGUAAUGGUGAAUCUUGGGGUGAGACAACCCGCACAAGUGACAAAGGCAUUAACCCUCUUGAAUCCAGAUGCUCAACUAAUACUGACUGUCCAGCAGACAGGAACUUUGUGUGCUUUAAACAGACCUGCAAGUGUGUACCAGGGUACAGUUUCAAUCCCGCCAACAAUAGCUGUGUGAGACGUUGCAAAUCUUAUGGUGACAGUUUCACAAGAUACUACGGUCUGGGUAUCCAUGGCAACAACGACGGAAUCAGUACAACAAGCGUAAAGGAAUGUCAUCAACAGUGCAUUAGAGAGAAAGCGUUUACCUGUAUUACCUGCGAGACCCACAGUGUGAACAGGCGUUGCUUCUUGUCGACAUCUGGGUACCUUGAUGUAGAACCGAGAGAACGAAAGAAGGGGUCAUUGUUUUGGAGUAUUUCCACGAGGAAUUGUGCAUAGCAGCA